rnacentral:misc_RNA from 1 species
GCAGUUCCCAGGUUCUAAAGUCCCACGCACCCCGCGGGACUCAUAUUUUUCCCAGACGCGGAGGUUGGGGUCAUGGCGCCCCGAAGCCUCCUCCUGCUGCUCUCAGGGGCCCUGGCCCUGACCGAUACUUGGGCAGGUGAGUGCGGGGUCCAGAGAGAAACGGCCUCUGUGGGGAGGAGUGAGGGGCCCGCCCGGUGGGGGCGCAGGACUCAGGGAGCCGCGCCCGGAGGAGGGUCUGGCGGGUCUCAGCCCCUCCUCGCCCCCAGGCUCCCACUCCUUGAGGUAUUUCAGCACCGCUGUGUCGCGGCCCGGCCGCGGGGAGCCCCGCUACAUCGCCGUGGAGUACGUAGACGACACGCAAUUCCUGCGGUUCGACAGCGACGCCGCGAUUCCGAGGAUGGAGCCGCGGGAGCCGUGGGUGGAGCAAGAGGGGCCGCAGUAUUGGGAGUGGACCACAGGGUACGCCAAGGCCAACGCACAGACUGACCGAGUGGCCCUGAGGAACCUGCUCCGCCGCUACAACCAGAGCGAGGCUGGGUCUCACACCCUCCAGGGAAUGAAUGGCUGCGACAUGGGGCCCGACGGACGCCUCCUCCGCGGGUAUCACCAGCACGCGUACGACGGCAAGGAUUACAUCUCCCUGAACGAGGACCUGCGCUCCUGGACCGCGGCGGACACCGUGGCUCAGAUCACCCAGCGCUUCUAUGAGGCAGAGGAAUAUGCAGAGGAGUUCAGGACCUACCUGGAGGGCGAGUGCCUGGAGUUGCUCCGCAGAUACU